GUUGGGCUCCUGAGCAACACGGGGCGCUGACUGGCACGUGAUCGCCGUCUCCUGUGCAGUGCCGGGAAGCUUGGAAAAAAAUUUCUGCCAAACCGAGGAAGCCGAUGUUUGGAGGCGGGAGUUCACCAGAAUACGGUUUCUUAUUUCCAUAGAUAAAGCUACCCUUGUGAUGUGACGUUGUAUUGUGAUUCCUGCUUAUAGAAUUUAGAAUAGAACCUCUGAUUUGUUAGAAAUAGGGAAACCCAAGAUGGAGUCACAGUGGCCCGUGUGGCACCCAUCUUGAUUGUUUCUAAAGAUCUGAUGUAAGAUUUGGAAUAUGUAAAUUAAGAUAACUGGAGGAUGAAGUCAAAUAAGUAAAUUGAUUUUUUUUUUUUUUUUUUGGUGAUGGGAGUUGGCUGUGUCACAGGGCUUGUGGGAUCUUAGUUACCCAACCAGGGAUCAAACUCGGGCCCUCGUCAGUGAAAGCCUGGAGUUCUAAUGGCUGGACCACCAGGGUCCAGUAAAUUGUUUUCAAAGGUGUGAGGAAAGAUUUAAAGAAAGAUGCAUAACAUGAGUUGUGCGUUUAAGUUUUAUUCGCGAUCUUUCUGAGGACUAAAGCCUGGGAGAUAGCCACUCAGUAAACUGUGGCAACUACUCGGUAGAGGUAGGGGAGAAGCCAGUUUACACAUGAUUUUUGGCCAGGGCAUACCUGAAGUCAAGCAUAUAUUUUGGUAAGAUUGCUAAUUGUAAAGAACCGAUGUCUCCAGUUAAUCUUUUCAGCUUUUCUAUGUAUGGGAACAUGCAAGAGUCUAGGGUCAUUAAAAUUCUUCCUGAGAUAUACAUCUAACUAUCUGUGGGACCUGCCUAUUCGUGUGCGUCCAAAGCACAGAUGCCUCAUUCUGUGUUCGCCUUAAAUUCCUCUAAGAGUCCUACUGUCAGUCAGCAACCGUGGUGGGUUACAACUGAACUCUUGUGGAAAUGGGUGGUGAGCAAUGCUCUUUGUCUUAGCGAUCCUAAUUUUUCGGGGUCCACACCUGUAUGUUGACUUUAAAAAAUGCACAACCUAAAGUUGACAGUUAUGUUUUAUUUGGGGAACCUUACUAAGGACUGUAGCCCGGGAAUUAGCUUCUCAGAUCGCUCUGAAGAACUGUUCCAAAGAGGUAAGUGAGGAGACAGGAUAUAUAGGAGUUUUUGCUGGAAAAAAAAAAUGUAGUCAGACUUCAAAAGAUUACUGCUAAUUACAAAAAACAGACAUCUCAAGUAAAGGGUUUUAAUGCUUUUCUAUGUAUGGGAAGAUGCACGUGUCUGGGCUCAUUGAAAUUAUUCCUUUGAUAUGCAUCUUAACUAUGUAGGGCCAGUAUCCUCUUUUUUCUCCACCCUGAAUUCCCCUCAGGAUGCACUGUCAGGGCAGCUGCAGUGACUGUUGGCUUGAUGGAAGACAGCAUUUUUUGUUUACUGAAAUGGCAGGCAACAUUUUUUUGUCCACAGGUAAGGCUCCUUGUUGCUGGGGUUGUAACUGUUGCACCCUAGGGGUUGUACCUCACAAAAGACAGGGUCUGAGUGCAGUUGCUGGAGAAGGGUCUCGAUGGACCGCAUGCACUACGCUCGCUGGAGACUGCCCGUGUCAGAAGCUGCCGGAGUAGAAGGUGAUUGCUGAGAAAAGCCAGCGCCACACUGGUUGCCUCUGCCUACAUCUAGAACCCGUGCCUGCCAUUUGCGUUGAGGAUGCCUCCCUUCCCCUAUCUCUCUUCAGAGUGGUUCCUUAAACCCUUUAUUUUCUUUACUAUUGGGUGUGACUAAUUUGAGUGUAUUGAGUGCAAUAAGCCAAGUGAUUUUAGCCUCUUAUACAAUUGGCUCAUGACAUGUUUUACGACUUCUCAAUCCCACCAUUCUUCCCUGGCCUUGUUGCUUUGGCUUGUGGCCAACACCCACACACAUUAAAGAGCUAUGAUAUGUGCUGGGUGGGUGACUUAAUUUAUCUAUCUUACUCCUGAACCCAGUUAACGCAGAUGCAAGGGUAGUCUAAAAUCACCGAAUCAUGGAGUAUUAGAGCUGGAAGGGACCUUUAAAGGACAUCUAGUCCAACCCUCAGAAUUAACAGACUAAGGAACUAACAUCUGGAGGAGUGAAGUAAUUCUCCCAAGUGUAUAGAUAGUUGUGUUAUAGUUGAAUUACAUUACAUACCCCUGGAAUAACUAGCCCUGUAGAGACUCAGGUGUACCAUAAGCUCAUAGAAGGCAGGUAUGACUUCUUAGACUCUUUUUCAUCCUCCAUGCACUCUAGCUCCUGUCCCCGCCCCUCACCCUCACCCCCAAUCACUUGGAGAGUAAAUGAGUGACUGCAUAUCUUCAUUGCCUGAUGUAUACACUUUUGUAUACAUACAAACAUGGAAAAAGACACAUACCAAAGGCACAUGCAUAGUUUCCCCUCCAGCCCCCACCCUCUGGGAACCACUAACCCAUCUUCUCUCCAUAUGGAUUUGCCUAUUCUGGACAUUUCAUAUAAAUGAAACCAUACAAAGAGAGGUCCACAUACCGUAUGUCUAAAUACUGAAAAAUUUAAAAUCAGCCUAGCAAACUGUUAAAAUGUUUUAUCCUCUUGCCUUGACAAAUACACCAUCACGAAGAGGGUCACUUUCCAAUUUAGAAUUCUCAGACUUCUUGGAAUUCUGUUGGGGGAGGUGGCAGUGUGGAGAGAGCUACCCCCAGUGCUCACUCAGCCCACGCCCUUCUCUUCUCAGCCCAUCUCUUCUCUUCUCCAUCCUGCACCAUGAGGGGCUCUGCAUGUGCGUGGCCACCCAGCCCCCAAGUGCAAGGGUAGUCACCCGCUCUCCUGUGAGCAGUCACCCCCAGUAGCCCUAAAGGGAGGACACACACUGGGAAGAGACUGGCUCAGAUGGUCCCGAUCUGAGCUUGGAGUGAUGUUCUGGAGUCCCCGUUGCUCCAAUUUAGCCCUGAUGCACAGUGAUACUGACUGCUGGUCCUUGGAAACCACCUGUCAAUCACCAGGGCCAUGACUUGCUAAGGGAAUAUGAAAGACAGUAAGAAGUUUUGGCAUUUCUUGCUCGGGUGGAUUUUCCUUAAGGAAAAGUCUCAUGAAAAGAACCCUCAACAUUUCUGCUGUAGAACCACAGCAACUCUAUUCAUUAGCUCUGUUGAGUGCUAUUAGGUUUUUCUUUUUUUCUUUUGUUCACUAGUUUCACAAAGAUUCUACCUUACCAUCAAAAAGAAUGUUUUAAAAACCAGACUUUAUCCCACUCCCUUGCAGUGAGUUAUGGGCUCAUGGGGAAAGGAUCCCCCACUUUUGACUGUUCUAAGAAAGAGCAAGAAAUACUCUGGGAUUAAGCACUUGAAAAAAUACUCCUGGGACUUUCCUGGUGGUCCAGUGGAAGUACUACAUAUUCACCAUGGAAAGUUUGGAAGAUGCUGAGAAUUAAAAUGAAGAAAAUGUAAAUUACCUAUAAAUUUAUAACCACCUUCUAACACCUGUUAACAUUUUGCCUUUUAAAAAGUGAUUUAACCAGUACUAAAGGAUAAUGUAAUCGUAGCUGAACUACUAAUAAAUUGGAGAACUAUGUUAUAAGAAAUCUAUAGGUGGUAAUUGUUGAAGCUAGGUGAUGGGUACAUGAGUGCUCAUUAUACCAUUCUAUUUUUAUAUAGAAAAUUUCCAUAAUCCAAAAAUAAAAAAGAGGUAUCUAUUUGAAAACUCCCCAAUUUUUCUGUAUGGCCAAAUUUUUAACUGAAAUGAAUUAAAAACAUAGGAG